rnacentral:lncRNA from 1 species
CAUGCGUAGUCGGCCCAAGCACGCUCUUUCUCCAUCCCUGCCCCGCCUCCUCUCUUCUCAACCGCUUUUCAAGAGCUGUUGGGGAAGUGUUUGGGCUUCUGACUCAAAGUGAAAGGACUGAGUAUAGGGAGUUGAACAUCACCGCUGUGACCACCUCUCUGGAUUUGUGACUACCUACAUAACUCAGUAUCCCUGAAAGAAUUGUCAGAAAAGACCAUGAACCAUAAUGAGAUGUCACAGCCUGGAGUGACAUGUAAAGUAGCUUCAAAAACAUUCUUCUUGGUGUCAAUGUUAACAAUAAAGUAGAAGGAAAUGAAUCUUUGCCAAGAAAAUCCCAUGGACAUUAUGGUCCACAGGAUCAUGAAGAAUCAGACAAGGCUGAAUAAUUGAAUGACAACAAAGAUACUGGAAUGGCUUGCUAUUUCCUUUUCCAAAUCACUGUCCAGAUGAGGAAACUGAGACAAGCAGAUGUUAAACGACUUAUCCAGAGUCACACAAUUAGUGUGUAUCUGAAGCUGGACUUGAAUGUUUUGAAUCCAGGCCAGAUUUGAUUGAGAAUAGAACUGAGAAUCCUGAUUCACAUAAGUUUUCAUAAAUGAGAUUAAAGUCUUAGAUGAGAGAGAGUGGGAGGAAGGGAGAGAGAAAAAUUUGGAGCACAGGGUUUUACAAAGACCCAGAGAACUGGAGUGACUUGCCUAAAAUCACCUGAAUACUGUGUGUCAGGAUAAAGGCUUGAAAAGAGAUACUUGAUUCCAAAUCCAGAACUUUUGCCACUGUUCCAGGCCAUGUAGACCUUUAAAGGAAGCUAUGAGAAACUACUUUCCCUUCUUGAUUAUGAAUGAUCGUGAAAUGGAGAAUGAAAGUUUCUCCAUCUUUUCUCCUCCAUGAACUGCAGGUGUGUAAAAUUUUUCCCUUUUGAUAUGAUUUUCAUUGUGCAGCAUGAUGAACACUGAAAUAUAUUUAUAAGAAUUGAACAUAUUUAAGCUAUAUCAGAUUGCUUUCUUUCUUGGGAAGUGAGGAGAAAAUGAGGGAGAAAUAUUUGGAAUACAGGAUUUUGCAGAGUUAUUGGAGAAACUGUUCAUGUUUGGCCCAUUUAAUGUGACUCCUACAAUGCCUCAGAGGUCACUGAAGUUUGUGUGUAUAAUGAGCUCCUGGUUCUGCUCAUUUCAUCUCCUAAUACAAAUAAAAUAGAAGAAAAAGAAGAUAUUACACUUUCAUGGGACAGUAAAAAUAUAUUUCAGUUUGUCCCAGGAGGACUCCUAUUCUGCCAGUCUACAUUUGACCUGAGGAACAAUUGUUUAUUUAUUGUGAGGAAAUCUUGAGAUCUUGGAAUUUUCUGACCACUAUCUUCCCAGAAUCCUCCUGGGAACUCCUUUUUAAUUUGAAUUCCAGAGCAGAUGUCCAUGGUCUUGAGGCACAUCUUUGCAAAUAGAAGACAUCUUAUGAGAAUGAAUGUAUAACAGAAUGAAGAAGAGACAUUCCAUUUGAGAAUGAAUUUUGGAAGACACUUUGGGAAAUAUUUGGAGCAAGCAGCUGGGUCAGCAGUUGAGAAAGGAGAAUCAGCAAGAGAGAGAAACUCUGAAGUUGUGGGAUACUGGAAACAAAGCAUAUUUGGAACCGAAGCUGAUUUUCCUUCCUCUGAAGUAGUCACCGUUCAUUUAUAACAUGGUUGUUUUGUCAUUAUUGAGAAAAACAAACAGCUAGUUUGAUGGAAAAGGCCGCCCCAGUCCCCUGGGAAGGGAGAGUUCAGAUGUGAUACAAGCUGACAGAGGGUGAAAAAAUAAUUUUCAAAGUGAUAAAUUUGGGCAGCUGUGAUGGACAGCAAAGAUGGCAUCUGCCCAGAGAAGUAAAAUUCAAGGUUAAACCCAGUUUUCUAAAGUCUGCUUCCAGGGGCAGAAGUGUGGAACAGAGGAAGUGGAUUCAGCACUGGCCGAGCUAUCGAAGUGCCCAGUUGGGCUGAGUGGGUUAGCGAUUGCCCUCGGCUAGAGACUAAGGGGUGAAAGUGUCACUGCCCCAGGCCGGAGCCUCUUGUGGGGCUCUGGGUAUUAGCAGCUGACCGCAAACUGCCAGUUCUACCGGCACUCUGCCCGUCAGUCUCUGCUCCAACGUCUCUGCCCAGCGUCUCUGCCUGACAAAUCGGCCCUGGAAAAACUCUAUGGCCCCAAGCCGAGCCCCCCACCGGGCAGAUUGGAGGCUAACCCAGGCUGCGUCCUCCUGCCGUGGAGGAUCACAACUGCCCCAAGGAAAAGCCUGUACUGUGGGUUGGGGCUGGGAGCUUGUGCUCAGAUCUGUGCCUUCACCCUCGGUUUGAGACUCUCCUCGGAACCUAAUUUCUCUCCCCGUCUGCGCCGAUCUCCCCCCUGGCCCCGGAACCAACCUUUUUUGUCGAGACUGCAGAUUUUCUUUGGCCGCAUGAUGAAUAUGGAAAUAUGUUUAGAAGAUUUGCACAUGUUUAAUCUAUAUCAGACUGCUUGCGUCUUGGAAAAGGAUUGGGAAAGGAAGGAGAAAAAUUUGGAACACAAAGUUUUGGAAAGAAAGGAUCAGGAAAUGACAUUUGUAUGAGAAACACAAGGAGAAUCAUGAGGAGAAAUAGAAAUAGUUCUAAAAUAACCUGAGAGAAAAUCUGUCAGAAAAAAGUGCAUUAAAAAGGAUACAUAAAGUUUUGAGAGGACUGGAGUAAAAUCACACCUCACUCUCAGAGGAAAGAAGACAGACUAUAGAAUGCAAAUUGAUAGAGAUGAGAAGCUAUAAAUUGUGAGAAGGAAACAAGAGCCAAUGAAACUGAGAAGAUAACAAGAAUUAAGCACUGUUCAGACCAGGGACCAGUCUCAAUAGAUCAUUCAGUCAGUCUCUGGAGGACAUUGUUGAUAGAUGAAAUUGUCCAAAUCGUCCAGGUGCAUGUUCUACUAUCUUGAAUGGGUCCCACCCAAAGAAGAACUAGAUAAUCUAGUCUACUUGAAUCUAGUCUACUUGAAUUCUUCACUCUAUCAGGAAGCACCUGUAAGAAUAUGAGCUAUUGAAUGAUUUGCUAACACAUACUAUUUUCAAAAUUAAAAAGUAUAUACAUAUACAACCUUCUUAGAAGAUAUAUUAGAGAAACACUUCUCUCCCCCUUACCCUUAUAGAAACUUUUUAACAUAUGUACAUAAAUACAUAUAUGUAUGUGUUUAUUUAUAUCAUAUAUUAAUGUAUCAAACUCAAAUACCUACAUAUAUGUAUAUAUGUGUAAAUAUACACAUAUGUAUACAUACAUAUAAUCACAUUUACAGUUAGUCAAACAAAGUAAAAGAAUACAUUGUCCAUGUAUGGGGUAAGCAACUUUCAUUCUUCUGUUCUCAUUCAUCAACCUCUGCCAAAAAUUGGGAAAGAUAGAUACAUUUUUUAAAGUGGAGUAUUAAUAAAACAUUUUUAAAAAGGGAAACAAAACCUAGAGAACAAAACAGACUUACUAAGGCUAAGGAUAUUCCUUGGGGAGAGAAGAAUUAGGCUGGAGUUAACUUUUCUGGAUAGUAACAUCCUUUCCAUUGUUUUUUUGGGGGGAGGUUUAAAAGGAAACUACUUUAAGGGGAAGGCCAAGGGUAUUGAUUGAAGAGAAAACCAUGUCUAAGAAGGAUCAGGGAAUUAGUGGGCCAGAGCAUAGCAUAUGAGGAUGGGGUCAAGUUAAGAAGGAGUAGCUAGCUCUCUUUUUCAAUUAAAUUCUUUCAACUGUCAACAACUGUUAAACUGAGAAGAAUCAUACAGGACUGAAUAGGCAAGAAUGAUUUAAUUCAAUUCAGUACAGGCUAAUAAACAUUUAAGUACCUAAAUAUUCUGGGAUACAUCACGGAAGGGGAAAAAAAGUGCUUCUUAGCAAUUUGAUUUUAAAAUAUAAUGAAAAUGCAUACUUUUGCCUUAAGGAAAGAAGACAUUUUCUCAGUUGAAAUUCUAAAUAAAAUGAAAAUUGCAGGGUCCAUUGAUAAUGCAGAAGGUAAAGAUCAAAAGAUACAUGAAAGUACAGGCAACUUUUCUUCAAGAAGAGAUGAAGCAAUAGGACAGAGAGGAUAACUUGAACACAUCUUGUAUAUGCACAUAAUAAUUUUUUUCCUAGAAAUGUCACUAUUACUUAAGAUAGUAUAUAGUUGCAAGUUUUUUUUUAAAAAAACAAGUAUUUUUUAUUUAAAAGUGAAUAAUCUUCUUUAUCAUCUUUUCCAAUCCAACACCAAGUAGUGAAUAAUAUUAAAAAUUUAGUGAACAAUUUUUAAAAACCUAAUUUAAUUAACUUUUAUUUGCUACAUAUAUUUCUUCUCUCUUUUAAAGGGUACUAUGAAUUUGUCUUAGUUUAAAUCUCAUUCCUAGAAUCACAGGUAUUAAGACAAAAACCCAGAUAGUAUAACUUCCAUUUUACAGAUGAGGAAAUUGAAGUCCUCUUUAGUGAUUUGCCUUAAUAAAAUGGAGGCAGAGCACAAUGAUUUUCCCAAAUUCAUUCAGCUACUAAUUUUUGUUAACCAGUGUUCCUUUCAAUGUCUCACAAUGAAAUUCCUCAUGAUCCUCCUAGAAGACUAAUUGGCCAUAUGGUCAAGAUGCCUUAAAUAAUUUUGCUUUUUGGUCAGUUAACAUCAUUUCAAAAAUCAGCAAUCCACGAGUGCCUAUGCUCCUGCAAUGACAAGUUUAGUUGAUUAUUUCAUCAAUGCAACAAUGCUAAUGCUUACUAAUUCAGGAAUCAAAAAAAAAAAAAAAAGAUAGCAUGGAUCACUUCCUUCUGUUGACUUCCCCCGAGGACCAUCUCCAGGGAUCCUGAUCUACAUCUUGCUAUUGGAGAUGACACUGGAGGAGAAAAUGAGACUUGUGCCUUUGCACCACCUACUCUCAAUUAAAUCCAAUUCAUGUGUAUGUCCCGACAUCACCUCCCUAAUGUCAUGGUUUUCUUUGAGAAUAAAGCCUUGCCAUCUCCUACCCACUGCCUCCUUUGAAUGGACAAAGGA